rfam:Photobacterium iliopiscarium strain ATCC 51761 CFSAN029430_contig0187, whole genome shotgun sequence.
GGGGUUAUAGCUCAGCUGGGAGAGCGCCUGCCUUGCACGCAGGAGGUCUGCGG